rnacentral:lncRNA from 1 species
UUGUCACUUGUUUCUCAAAUAAGCACUCAAAUUGAUCACAGAUUUUCCUACUGCUUGGUUCCUCUCUCUGCGAGUUCCAGUAGUAAACUGCUGUUCGGCCAAGAAGCAAUAAUUUCUCGUCCUGGGGCCGUUUCCACUCCAUUGGUAUCCAAAACCCCUCAAACCUACUACUACCUUAGUCUUGAAGGUGUUAGCAUUGGAGACAAGACCGCACAGGCAGGUUCGAGCCAAGGGAAUAUCAUAAUCGAUUCUGGAACAACACUCACAUACCUAGAAUCGAGCUUCUAUAGCAGCUUAGAGACCAUAGUGAAAGACGCCAUUGGAGCAGAUCCAGUGCAAUCUCCUUCAGAAUCAUUUAGCUUGUGUUACGGGUCAGAGACUAACAUCAACGUCCCGGAAAUGGUGUUCCAUUUUAGUGGUGCCGACCUUCGUUUGCAACCUGUCAACACGUUUGCUAAAUUCGAUGACAACUUGGUUUGUAUGCUGAUAGCUCCAACUCCAAGUGACCUUCCCUUAUCUAUAUUUGGAAACUUUGCACAAAUCAAUCUACAGGUGGAGUACGAUCUUGAGAAGUGGACUGUGUCCUUUGUUCCCACAGAUUGUACCAACCAAUAAAUUUGUUAGUUUCCAAUUGCAUGCAUGGCGGCGGCCACGGACUAGAAUAAAUAUCACUAAAUAAAAAUCCCAAACCCCGCUCAGCUUUUUAAAUUCCUCACUACCUUAUAUACUUUUCUUGCUUAAUUGUAAUAUCCAUGUCAGUCCACCGGUGACAUGAAAACAUCUUGCAAGAUGAUAUUAUGGCUAAUUAGUACUGAAACUAAAAGUUUCUGGCUGCUGCAAAAUUUAAUUGCUGAAUUUUUGCUUCAGAUGAAAGACAACAGUUUACAGGCAUAUAUGAGACAUUACCAACAUCUUAUCUUUUUAUUUUUUGGGAUGCCCUGGAAACAAAUACUAACCUUUUCCUGGUUAAACUUACAUGUUAUUUAUGCAUUGUAUAAGAUGCUUUUGAGCACUUCUAUAAUCUUGUUAAAGUCUUUUAACAAAAAUAAAUGAAAGAAAUAAAAAGGAAAUUUCCUUUUGUAACUAAUAAAAUCUAGUCUCUUUGACACGUUCGGGCCCAACUUAGCGAAUUCAAUGGAGCUUGACGAUGGGCCUGGCUAAUCAAUUUCUAUUCAAGCUACCCAGCAAGAUUAGUUAUUCGUUUAUUGAUAAAUAACAUAAAUUUGCCACUUAUGAAGAUGAUAUAAUUAUAUAUAUAAAAGGCUAAACUCUAAAAUUGUUCAAAGUGAUGGGUUCAAAUAGCUUUUUAAAAUAUAUAUUUAAUAUUUUGAUAUAUAAAAAAAUUCAUAUUAAAAUUUAAAGGGUAAACUACAAAAAUAGUCAUCCAACUAUAAAAAAUUUCAUUUUUGGCAUCCAAAAUAAAAUGUUUGUAAUUUAAGCACUUAUGUUACAUAAUUUGAUCAUUUUGAUCAUUCCCAUUAAAAUCACAAAUGACAAGUUUAGGGGGCAGUUAAACAAAUCGAUAUAAUAAAAAAUUUAGCCAUCAACUUUUAUUUAUUGUAUCAAUUUAGUCAUAAUUUUAAAAAAUUAAAUCUCAAAAUUUACAAAUAAUCUCAAUUUGAUUGUAAUUCUAAAAAAUUUCAAAGAAACAAGUUAUUUAUUUGUAUCCAUUUUCAUUGCCGCAGUAUAGUUUGGAGGGUUACGAAAGAAUGCUCAAAUAAAGAAUUAAAAAAGAAGAAAAAACAAUGGAAAUUUUUUAUUACAAUUUUACAUCAUUUGACCAACAUUGUUAUGUAAUGGUAACCAACUUUGUUCAAAUAUCAUUAAACUAAUGAUAUUUUUUUCUCAGAAAUCUUAACCAAAAAUCUAAAUGGUUUUGACGUCAAGCUUCUUCAGUUCCACCUUAGGAACAAUAACAAUGGUAACCCCAUUUUCCAUGGAAGAUUUAACUUGAUCCAUCUUCGCAUUCUUAGGCAACUUGAAUCAUCUUGAGAACUUGCCACUGCUCCGCUCCACGCGACGCUACAUCUCGUUCCGUUAGUAUAACUAAUUAACAGUUAGUUAGUUAUCAGUUGUUAAUAGUUAGUUAGAUGGUUAGUCUGAUAUAAGCCUACUACUAUAAAUAUGAGUACUGUAAGUAUGUUAAUAUGUGUUCAAUAAUAAAAAUACUUCUUUUGAAUAUCAUAACAUGGUAUCAGAUUUUCUUUCUUUUUUGGUAGAUCCUUGAGGGCCUGUGUUCUUAUGGCUUUUCCUACUAGUCCGUCUCCUGUGCAUUCUGAUACGCCUGGAAUGGCUUCUCAUAUCUCUGAAGCUGCUGUUGACAGUUGAUUUGUUGCUGCCAAGAAGAUUAAUAUUUUGUUUGAUGAUACUAAUUACCUGCUAUGGCGUCAGCAGGUGAUUUUGGCUGUUAAAACUCACAAUCUACAACAGUUUCUUGAUUCCAGUACGACUCCCCCUCCUCGACAGGUUCUGAGUGAAGAUGGAAGUCUUCAGGAUAAUCUUGCGUUUUCAAGAUUUCAACAGCAAUAUUUUGCUUUAGCUUAUUGGCUGUUGUCAUCUGUCAGUGCAGCUGUUUUACCGCAUCUCAUUGGAUUGGAGUCUUGUGCCAAAAUAUGGAGUGCAAUUGUUGCUUUGUACGAUAGCAAAACCACCUCUCGAUUGAUGUCUUAUCGUAGAGCUCUCCAUUCUCAGCGGAAAGGUGAGUUGUCCAUGAAAGAUUUCUUGAUGAAAAUUAAAAGCUAUUGUGAUAGUCUUGCUAGCUGUGGUGAGGUAAUUAGUGAUCAAGAGUAUAUCACUGCCAUUCUUAAUGGUUUACCACCGGAUUAUGAAGCAGUUAUUGCUAUUAUUACUGCUAGUCAAGUGCCUUACAGUAUACAAGGAGUAACCACGAUCUUGCUUGAUGCUGAAGCCAGACAAAACGUUAUUGUGCGUGAAACUCCUAGCUCUGCUAAUCUUGUAUCUCAUCAAGAGUCAACCUCGAUGCCUGAGACUGUCAAUGCACCUACCUAUCGUCCCUCAUCAAAUGGUAGAAGUAGAGGGCGUGGUCGCUCAUUUGGAUCCCGUGUACAGUGUCAACUAUGUGGUAAAUCAGGCCAUCUUGUUGAUCGGUGCUAUCAUCGAUUUGAUGCGUCGUAUAAAAAUAUUGGUUCUAGACCUCCUAUGGUUCCUCAAGCAAAUCUUAGUGUGUUUGGACAUGGUGCUACAACUACAUCAUGGCCAACACCUGUACCUGCUGCUUAUGGCCCUAGUCAAAGUCCAUCACCGAGUUGGUUGUGUCCACCUGUCUUAACUAACAAAUGGAAUAACCCGUUUGAUGCAUUUGCUUUAUUACAUGCUGGUAUGUCUCCCAGUGUGUCUUCUACUACAGCUUUAAUGUCGCAAGCCUAUGUUGCAAAUCCUGCAACGGUUGCAGAUAAUAGUGGUAUCCCGACUCUGGGGCUACACAUCAUCUGGUGAACUCAGCAUCAUCCUUAGGUGAACCUUUGGCUUACAACGGUCCAGGUAAAGUGUAUGUGGGCAAUGGUACUGCUCUACCAGUUCUUUCUAUGGGUCAGUCCACAUUGUCUACUUCAUCUCGACCUUUAUAUAUGAAGUCGUUGUUACAUGUGCCUGGUAUUACUAAGAAUUUGCUAUCUGUUUCUAAAUUCACAAAGGAUAAUCAAGUAAUGGUUGAGUUUUAUCCUACUCAGUGUCAGGUUCGUGAUCUCAAGACAAAGCAAGUUCUCCUAAGUGGUUCAGUGCAUGACGGGCUAUACAAGUUGCAUUUAAAGGGUUCGGGUGCACCAAUGACAGCUGAUGGUUCUUCUCAAUGUUUUACUGCUAGUACAAUGGUCCCGUUAACUGUGUGGCAUUCUAGAUUAGGUCAUCCAUGUGAUGUAACUCUCAAGAAGGCCUUAAAUCAUUGUAACAUACAAUUUAAAACUAAUAAAAAUGUUUCUUGUUGUGUUACGUGUCACUUGGGCAAAGAGCGUAAGCAGCCUUUUUCUCAAUCCUUGACUGAUUAUACUACUAUUUUAUAGCUCAUUGUGGCAGAUGUCUGGGGGCCAGCUCCGGUUGUGUCCAAUGGAUUUCGAUAUUAUGUCGCAUUUACUGAUGCUUACUCCAGGCAUACCUGGCUAUAUUUCUUGCAGAAAAAGUCUGAUGUUCUUACAGUAUUCCCACUAUUUCAUCGCCAGGCUGGACGUGUCUUGGGGUGUAAACUUCAAAUUUUACAGACAGAUGGUGGAGGUGAGUUUCGUGCCUUGAAGCAGUAUGUGUCUCAGCAAGGAAUUGUCCAGCGGUUUACCUGCCCGUAUACCUUACAACAAAAUGGUCUUGUUGAGCAUAAUCAUCGACAGAUUAUUGAAGUUGGGUUGUCCAUGUUGGCACAUGCAGCUAUGCCAGUCACAUACUGGAAUGAUGCAUUCAGUAGUGCGGUUUAUUUGAUUAACAAGUUGCCUACGUCUCCCUUGGGCAUUUCACCCUAUGAAAAACUGUUUCAGACUAAACCAAACUACUUGUUCCUUAGAGUAUUUGGUUGUCUCUGUUUUCCCAGUCUUCGGUCAUUUAACACGUCCAAGCUGUAGUAUCGGUCAACGCCGUGCACGUUCUUAGGAUAUUCUCCAAGUUAGAAAGGGUACCGUUGUCAGGUUGCUGAUGGAAGAAUUUAUGUCUCUCGACAUGUCACAUUUCAUGAGCAUGAGUUUCCUUUUUCAACUCUCAACUGUAAAUUGACAGGAGCUAUACCUAAUGCCACUCAAAAGAGUUCUAAGCUUCUCGUGGUACAACCGAAUUCAACAGGUCGAGGAACCAGUGGGGACCGUACUCUUAGGCAAAGUCCGGAUGUCUAGGUGGCUUGUGAUCAAGGUGUCUCGACUUCUAGUCAAAGUCAGAACGUACAAUUGGCUUGUAAUCAAGGUGUCUCAACUGCUAGUCAAAGUUAGGCAGUACAAGUGUCACGUGAACAGGCUGAGUCAAGUUCGUAUGAUUCAAAUUCAUCUAGAUCUACUCGAAGGCACGUGUCUACUGAACUUCAGAAUCUCCCAGUCAACACUCAUGCAAUGACUACUCGUAGCAAAGUUAGAAUUUUUAAACCGAAGGUCUACUUGAGCAAGGUUGAUGGCUUGGUGAAUGACUCACCAACUGAUAUUCAUGAUGCUAUGUAAUAUGAUUGUUGGAGAGGAGCUGUUCAAAAUGAGUUGCAGGCUCUUAUUCGCAACAAGACAUGGGAACUUUGCCAUAUGCCUGCUAAUAGGAAAAUCAUAGGGUGUAAGUGGCUGUUUAAAGUGAAGCAUAAAACUGAUGGGACGAUUGAGAGAUAUAAGGCUAGACUGGUGGCAAAGGGGUUUUCUCAACAUGCAGGUUUUGAUUUUAGAGACACGUUUAGUCCGGUGGUUAAGGCGACUACUAUACGAACAGUUCUUGCAAUGGCAGUUAUAAAGCGCUGGUCCUUAAGGCAAGUUGAUGUGAACAAUGCCUUUCUCAAUGGCAUUUUGACAGAAGAGAUCUAUAUGGCGUAACCACCAGGAUUUGAAGUUGUCAGUGCAAAUGGUCAGAAGCUGGUCUGCCAUUUGACUAAGGCUUUGUAUGGUCUUAAGCAAGCUCCUCGAGCAUGGUUUCAGACUUUGAAACAAUACCUUGUGAAUCAACUUGGUUUUCGAGCAUUACAAGCUUACUCUUCUUUAUUCAUUCGAGGGUCUGCUGAUAAUCUUGUGUUGCUUAUGGUAUACAUGGAUGAUAUAGUGGUGACUGGUAGUUCAGUUGCUGAAAUUGACAAGGUGGUAUGUAAAUUGCAUAAAAAGUUUGCUCUUAAAGAUAUGGGUAGGCUCAAUUAUUUUUUGGGUAUAGAGGUUCACCACACAAGUCAAGGCUUAUGUCUGACUUAGAAGAAAUAUGCUGCAGAAAUUCUUACUAAAACAGACAUGUUGGGUGCGUCAUCUACACCUACUCCUAUGGUGAGUUCUUCGAAACUUGUUGCUUCAAAUGGUGAAUCAUUGUUUGCUGAUAUUCAUUUGUAUCGCAGCACAGUUGGUAUGCUUCAAUAUUUGUGUGUUACACGGCCUAAUAUAGCCUUCUCGGUUAACAAGUUAAGUCAGUACAUGAAUGCUCCGAGUAAGGUUCAUUGGAAGGCUGUUAAGCGAGUUCUACAGUAUCUUAUAGGUACUAUGAGUCAUGGGUUGUGCUUCAAACCAUGGCAGUUUCAGUUAGUCUGCUAUUCUGAUACCGACUAGGCCGCCUCUAUUGAUGAUAGAAGGUCUACUUCUGGGUAUGUAGUUUACUUGGGACAAAAUCCGGUUGCCUGGUGCUCCAAGAAGCAAGCAGUGGUCUCCAGGUCUUCAUCUGAAGCUGAGUAUCGAAGCUUGGCAAAUUGUGUGUCAGAGUUACUUUGGGUUAAACAGCUGUUAGAUGAGAUUGGCAUGGAAGUCUGUCAGGUACCAGUUGUGUGGUGUGAUAAUACUUCUACCGUUAGCAUGGCUGCAAAUCCAACUCACCAUGCUCGAAUAAAACAUGUGGAGAUUGAUCACCACUUCAUUCGAGAAAAAGUUCUGGAUGGUACUUUUCAGGUUCGUUUUGUUCCAUCAGCAAGUCAAAUUGCUGAUGUUCUCACCAAGGCUGUUCCACCGAAGAAGUUUGCUGAGUUUCGACAAAGUCUGCAAGUUUGUACUACUAAUGAAUGUUUUUCAAACAAAGAGAACUAGGAGAAUGUUAGUAAACUAAUUAACAGUUAGUUAUCAGUUGUUAAUAGUUAGUUAGAUGGUUAGUCUGAUAUAAGCCUACUACUAUAAAUAUGAGUACUGUAAGUAUGUUGAUAUGUGUUCAAUAAUAAAAAUACUUCUUUUGAAUAUCAUAACACGUUCUUCUUUUCCUUCCCCACAUUCCUUUCGAUGCUUAUUUGAAGCUCCUUUUCAUAUUCAAUUUCCUCUUUCUUAAGUUUAGGAAGAUUGGCUUUGAGCACAUGGGCAUCUGACUGUUAAGGGAUAAAAUGUUGUUUUAAAUUUUAGUAUUUUUUGUUGCGCUUUAAUUUAAAACGUUGAGUUUUAUUUUACUUUAGUUAAACGGGGAGUUUUGGUGAAGGAAGUAAAAAUGACGUAUUUUUUCAUAAGGGUUGUUGUAACCGUUUUAAUGAAACAAUGAGCUUAGAGGGACAACUUUCCAUAAUUGAAUUGACAACUUUGUACCAUGCUCCUCUCUCUUUCUCUGAGUCGUUAUAUUUUCAAAAUGAGCAAUGAAAAGCAUGCAUAAUAUGAUUUUGGACUGAAGUUUUGCCCUAUUUUCUCUUCUCUAAACUAUUCUCUGUUUCAUUCUCUCUUUCUUCGAUACAACUAGGAUUCUAUCUCGUAACAAGGUAUCAGAGCUUGACGACCUCAUGAACAGGGAUGAGAUUACCACACAUUUGCAAAAGGAUGUUACUAGUAUUCAACAUGAUAUGCUCAAGCCUCAAACAGAGGUUUCUCAAUGGGAUAAUCGUUUGGAAAAUCGACUGACAAAGUUUAAAGAAGAGUUGCGAGGAGAGUUCAAGUCAGAGGUUCAACCCUUAUUUGAACAGUAUUUAGGUGCACUCGUGAGUUUUUUGGGAGCUAGUUAUUUAGCAGAUAAGGGGAAAUGGGUUUUGGGAGGAGUUCCACCAGAUUUUCCUCCUAAGGAGUCAAUGACCAUACCUCUUCUCGUGGACGCAGGUGACUUCAUUGGACCCUAGAGAAUAGGUGUGAUGGAUACAGUAGCUAGACCCUACAAAUUGGAGUGUCCAUGGCUCGACAGCACAGAUUUCAGGGGAUAGUAGGCUAAAAUGGAACAAUAUUUCGAAACAGAUGAGAUUCCACCGAACACUCGUGUCACAACAGUGAUGCUUCACCUAGAAGGUAAGGCUCUUGACUAGCAUCAUUUUUUUGCCAAAGACAGGGUGGGUUUCAUAUGCUUACUUGGGAAUCCUAUGCACAAAACUUGAAGGAAAGGUUUGGAUUUGGUGUUUAUCAGAACCCGAUGACAGAUUUGGUAACUUUAAGACAAGUAGGGACUAUAGAUCAAUACCAUGAUGCCUUCAUUAUCCUGUUAAAUCAACUUUAAUUACCCUAACAGUAUGCACUAAGCAUUUUUAUAAGUAACCUUAAGGUAGAAAUCAGCUAAUACCUGUAACUUUUUAAACCUAAAUGUAUAGUGGAAUGAUUUUUUAUUGCAAGGCAAGUCGAGAAUAUUCUUAGCAGCCCCACGAAGAAGAGAUUAUUGUCUGGAUAGAACACAUCUUCUAAAGCUGUCCUGUUACCAGUUUCAGGAUCCAACUUCUCUAAGGGACCUGUUAUUGUUAGUUUAGCAACUCAUUAUAGUGGUUGUACAGCCCAGUUAUUGCCCGGGCCCAAUUAGUAGAGCCCAAACGGCCCAAUAAGCCCAACAGGCCCAGAACCCAGUCAGACUAGGGUUUCAGAAAAUGGAAACCCUAGCCAAGCCUAGUGUCGCGCCCAUCCCUCUGCUAUCACCGCUCGCCUUGUCCCAUCGCCACCCACCGCUACUAGCUUCAUCAACACCUGCAAGAACGACAGGAAAGAAAGCAGGAGCACGCAAUAGAUAGUGCAGGACAGCAAAAUACAAUCAAAUACAAUGUAAAUUGGCUAUAAAAGCCAAACAAUAUCUCUUUACUUUUUUUUUAUUUUACAGCGUUUUGAAUUCAAAAAAGGAAAAACAGAUAAAAAAGGUUGACUCCAGUUUAUUCUUCUCUGUCCUUGUGUUCUUAUUUACUUUAAUUUUUAUUUAUUGUUUAUUUUUUUCUGCAAUUGUUCAACAAAGAAAACAGAAUUGAAAAGGAAAGGAGUAAAUACCUUACCGCUUUGACGAGCUGGUGUCGGAACCCCGCCUUUGCCGUCAUCGGAGUCGAGCAAAAAGGGGCGUUUCAUCCCUUUUCCUUUUGGUCUCACGGUUGAGAAGGCUUAGCCUUCAGGGAUGCCGCAAAAGGGGAGGCCUAGGGGCCGUUCUCGCGCAACCCCGGCCAUUGGCCAUGGGGGCAGAGAUGGUGGCCUGAGCUUAAGGGGCCGAGAGAGGCGCAGGGAGGAGAGCAUUCGGGCUCUCUGUUUCCUUUUUAUGUUUCUUUCAUUUUUGCUUUUUUGUUUUGUUUAAAAAAAUGAAGUGGAGGCUAUCAGAUUAGGUUUUUUUGGUCCUUAUGUGAUGUCUGAAACGAUGCCGUUUGGAGUCUGAUCAGUGGCUCCAAAACGGCGCCGUAUUGAGCUCGACCCGCGCGUCGACCCGAUGGACCCCAAGGAUCCGCAUGUUUUGGACUGAGGGUCUAUUUACCCUUUCAGUCCUGCUGCUUCUGUGCUUCCCUCCAAUCUGGUCCCUGCUUUAGUUUUUUCUUUUUUACUUUUCUCCCCUGGGAUUUUGCUUUGCUUUUUAAUUUAGUCCCUUUUUUUAUUGUUUUUUUAUUUUUUGAAAGUAAUUAGUUUUAUUACCAUUAUUAUUAUUAUCAUUAUUGCUUUUAUUUUUAUUAUUUGCCUUUAUUGUUUACUCAUUUACACUGUUUUUAGAUUAUGUUAUAUGUGUACAUACCUAUAUACAUACUUACACUUUAAUACAUUCUAUAGUUUAUAUAUAUACAUUCAUAUUUUUAUAGUAUGUGUACACAUAUAACUUUCCAAGUUUACUUACAUAUGUAUAUCUACUUAGAUAUAUAUUAUUUGUACUUUAUACUUUAACAUACGAAUACACAUAUUUUAUUUUUAUGAAUAUAUAUACAUAUUUACCUUUUAUUAUUUUAUGUAUAUAGCUGCAUGUCUAUAUAUAUAUAUAUAUAUAUAUAUAUAUAUAUAUAUAUAUAUUUUUUUUUUUAAUUUUCAUAAAUAUAUACUUAUAUACUUUAUAUCUUAUUUAUUUAUAUAUCCUUGUAUACAUAUACUUUUAUAUACUUUAUAAUGCAUACAUGCACAUAAUAUAUAUGUACGUUUUUAUUUUUAUAAAAAAAAUAUAUACAUAUACCUACCUUUAUAUUUUAUAUAUUUCAUAACUUUAUACAUAUACAUAAAUGUACACAUACAUAUUUACAUAUAUUUUCACGUACAUAGAUUUUUUACAUUUUCAUAAUUUUAUGCACACACAUAUAUCUUUUUACUUUUUUUAUUCUUAUUCAUUUAUUUAUUUAUUUCAUUUUCAUUAUUGAUUUGAAUGAAUGCUUUAAUUUUAUUUGCUUGUAUACAUUGCUAUUUCGUAUGUUAUUGAUUCAUACUUUGUAUUUAUCUUAUUUACGUUGCAAUUGUUCGUAUUAUUUUGCACUAUUGUAUUCAAUAUCGUCUUGUUAUGAGUAUUAACAUCGUGUUUUAUUAUUUCAUGUUAGAUUAAUUCAUUUCAAUGCAUAAAUUACGAUAUUUGAAUAAGCAAAAUCUCGUGUUUAGAUUUGAGAAUGUCGUACCCUAACUUAUUGGGUCUCGAUUUUCACAAUAAAUCUAAAUACACGAAUCUUUUCAAACUCAAGUUUUAAAUGAUCUCGGGAUUAAAAAAAGAAUCGCAUCCUAACUUACUGGUUGUGAUCUCGCUUUCAAAUCCGAGAUAGCUAAAAAUACUUUUUAAAUAAGCAUUUUUUUUGUAUUGGGAAUUCGAGAUAUUGUGUCCUAACUUACUGGAUACGAUUCUCUUUCUCGAUUAACGUAAAAUAUGCUUCUUUUCCCAAAAUUUUUAAUGUUUAAUACAAGGGAUCGUAUUUUUUAAAAUUUUUCAAAGUUUUCAAUUCUCGACAUCAAGACAUUAAUUAAUCUACUAGGUACCAAUUUUUGGGCGUUACGAGGGUGCUAAUCCUUCCUCGUACGUAACCGACUCCCGAACUCAUUUUUCUAAAUUUCGUAGACCAAAACCGUUGUUUUUAUAAAAUUAAGUUAUUUAUUAAAAACAACCAUUUUUCGAGGUGGCCCGAUCACACCUCACCAAAAAAUGAUUGGUGGUGGCUCCCGUUUUUGUUUUCAUUUUUCAAAACCCAAGACGACCCCGUUUUUCAUCCAAAAAAUGGUGUCAACAGUGGUUUUGGUGGGUUAGGGGCCAAGUCAGCAAUUGCUAAUUCAGGAACUUAGAACAACAAUUUUGGAGGAUCAAGGAACCAUCAUAGAGGGCCUCCUAGAUCCCUCUCUUCAACUGAAACCCAAGAUAGGAAAAAGAAUUAUCUUUGCUUUUGGUGUAAUGCUAAGUAUAAUGUGGGACAUAAGUGCAUUAAGUUCCAGCUUUAUUAGUUAAUGUUGGAUCCAUGCACAGAGGAAAUAGAGGAAGAGUGUAGCUUGAACCAAGAAGAGGUCAUCAGGUCUGAGGAAACACCAGUUGAUAACGUUGUACCCACCGAGCCGGUAUUAUCCUUCCAUGCACUUCAGGGUUUGUGAGGUGUCCAAACUAUGAUGGUGGCUACCAAUGUUGAGAACACCAAGGUUAUUCUCCUUGUUGAUUUAGGAAGCGCCUAUAAUUUUAUAAGUGCUAAACUUGUAAGUAAGUUGGCUCUACUGAUUUCUCUUAAGGAUAAAUUGAAGGUAACUAUUGCUAAUGGGGUUAUCUUGUCAACCAGUGAGGUUUGUAAUGAAUUAUUGUGGUUUACAUUUACUGCUAGCUUCCAGACCGAUUUCCUAGUAGUACCAUUAGGGGGUUGUGAUUUAGUCUUAGGGGUAUAAUGGCUCUAGACCUUGGGACCCAUCACUUGGGAAUUUAGUUCCCUGACAAUGAAAUUUAUUUACAAUGGUUAGCAGUGUUUAUUGGAAGGAAUACAACCAAGUCGCAUCUAGUUACUGGGAGACAAUCAAUCUACCAAAUGUUUGACUAUGUUGGGGAAAAGACAGGGCUUAUAUGCUAUGGUUAUCACAGACACGGUACAGGCUAGUUUGAUGGCAACUAAUGCUAGUUUCAACCAAGAGCUCUAGACUAUAUUGCAAACCUAUGAUGAUGUUUUUCAAGAACCAAAAUGUCUCCCACCUUCUCGGCUACAAGACCAUAAAAUACCCUUGAAAGAUGAAUCAGUUGUGGUUAAAAUAAGACCAUAUAGGUACCCUGCCAUUCAAAAAAUAGAAAUGGAAAGGUUGGUCCAUGAAAUGUUUCAAACAUGGAUCAUUAGGGACUCCAACAACUUCUUUGCAUCCCCUAUAGUCAUGGUUAAAAAAAAUGGAGGAUGGCGACUGUGUGUGGGUUAUUGACAAUUAAACCAGUUAACAAUUAAAGAUAAAUUUCCUAUUCCUGUAAUAGAAGAGCUCUUGAUGAACUUAGGUAGGCUAGGAUUUUUUCCAAGCUAGACUUUCAUUUCAGUUACCACCAAAUUCGAAUGUAGGAGCCUGACAUCCAUAAAAUAGCCUUUUUAAUGCACGAUGGACACUAUGAAUUUUUAGUCAUGCCUUUCAGCUUGAAAAAUGCCCCCUCCAUGUUCCAAGAUUUGAUGAAUUCAAUUUUUAAACCUCGACUAAGGAAUUUUGUACUUGUUUUCUUUGAUGACAUCAUUAUUUUUUCCUCUUCUUGGCAAGAUCAUUUGAGACAUCUCAUGAUAGUUUUUGAGGUUUUAAUAAACCAAUAGUUAUAUGCCAAAUAAAGUAAAUGUCAUUUUGGGGCUACUCGAAUUGAAUACUUGGGGCAUGUUAUAUCUCAAGGGAAGAUGGCAAUGGACCAAAACAAGGUUACUAGCAUUAUGAAUUGGCUGACUCCUCAGUGUGUUAAAGAACUCAGGAGGUUCCUUGGUCUUUCAGGGUAUUACUGAAGAUUCAUUAAAGACUAUGGCACGAUAGAAAGACCACUCACUGACUUGCUGGAGAAAGGGGAAUGGAAUUGGAUUCCACAAGUUGACAAUGCCUUCACCACUUUAAAAAUAACCCUUAGAUCUACUCCCGUCCUUGCCCUACCGAAUUUCCAGCUUGUUUUUUAUUUGGACACCGAUGUCAGUAACUCUGGAGUAGGAGCAGUUUUACAACAAGAAGGACACCUUAUAGCUUUAUUUAGCAAGGCCCUCGGAAUAAAGCACCAAUCCUUGUCGAUUUAUGAAAAGAAAAUGUUAGCGGCUCUUUUGGCAGUCAAAAAAUGGAAUCACUACUUGGUUGGUCGUUGUUUUUGCAUCUGAAUCGACCACCAAAGCUUGCAAUUCCUAGCUGACCAGCAGGUUGUUACUCAUUUUCAAAAGAAAUGGGUCUCCAAAAUGCUUGGUUACAACUUUCAUGUGUUAUACAGGAAGGGUAGCACCAACAUAGUAGCCGAUGCUCGUUUGAGACAGCGUAUGGGGGCUGAAGGAUAGUGUUUACAAUUGAAAGGUAGCUCGAUAAUAUCUAGCUUAUUAGCUUGGGUGCAAGAAGCUUGGAUACAUGACCCUCGUAUUAACAAUAUUUGUUUGGAGCUACAAGCCCAACCCCCCUCCCAUCCAAAGUACAAUUGGGAUGGUCGUUUUUUAAGAAGAAAUGGGAAACUUGUGAUUGGCAAGGAUCAAGAGCUUCAAAAAGCCCUAUUAUUUUUUAUUUUUAUGAGAGNNNNNNNNNNNNNNNNNNNNNNNNNNNNNNNNNNNNNNNNNNNNNNNNNNNNNNNNNNNNNNNNNNNNNNNNNNNNNNNNNNNNNNNGGUAGAGAAUGCCUUGUUUGCCAAUGGAACAAGUAUGAUACCUCUGCUCAUCCUGGGUUACUUCAACCACUCCCAAUUCCUACUCAUGCUUGGUCCAGAGUGAGCAUGGAUUUCAUCGAGGGAUUACCCCCUUCUAAGGGAAAGAAUUCCAUUCUCAUAAUAGUGGAUAGACUCAUUAAAUAUGCCCAUUUUGUAGGACUCUCUUAUCCCUUUACAUUUGUUACAAUAGCCCAAGCCUAUCUUGACCAUGUUUAUGAGCUCCACGGGAUAGCGCUAAAAUUUUAACAGUUCAUUUAGCUUUCUCGUCCAAAAAAUAAUAAAUUAAUUAAAUUUAAAAAAAUUAAGAUCAAAAUUUUAAAAAAUAAAUUUAUCUUUACGGAAAACAUAUAUUUUGUAAUUUGGUGAAUGGAAUGCGGCAUUCACACCCACUAUUGUCCAUAAUUUUCAGUGGGAACAAAAGCAUGGAAACAAUGAGAACAGACACCCUUUCUUUUUACAUUGAUUAAGACUCCCCUUUUCUUCUCUUUUAUCUUUCUUUAUUUUCUAUGAUUGAAGUGAGAAAAGAAUAGCAGAAAAAAGGCUAUGGAAAGAAACCUAUUGGAUGAAGACAACAAGUGAUUUUGAAAGUAGAAACGCGUAUUACAAAACAGAAAACAUCAUAUCAAUGAGAACAUACACCCAUUAUUUUUCGGAUUGAUUAAGACCUUCCCACAAGAAGUUUUGUCUGGAGGGGGCCUGGCACAAAAGAAGGUUGGGGUUAAACACUGAGACUUAACUCAGUUAAUUAAGAUUACAAUGCAAUCAUCCUUAAUAAUUCCUCCUCUAUUAAACAAAACACUGAGUCACUGAGACGAAGUAAUGAGUAGUAAGCCCAAACACCGCAACUUUUAUGUAGAUAGAUUGAAAAUCACUAAUUUCUAUUUCUCCUUCUUGGAUAGCAAAUGGAAAUUGCUGCAAUGAUUAACACACUUCCACAUAUAUAAUCUACCUUAACUUCUUCGCUACGCUAAACUAUUUCCAAUCUAUAAAUACAAGCACAUCCAUAGUGCUAUUGCCUAUAAGUACAUCCUCCUCAAUACCAAUUAUUCAUCACCUCAUCUACAUCUUAUAAUCCUUCUUUUUAAAUACUCGUCUUUAAAAACAAAAAUUGUGAAACAUGCAUAAUCCACUUUUUCUUGUGCUUACUGUAAUAUUCUCCAGCCUGGUGGUUCAGCCAGUAAUGGGAGCAAAGGGUUUCAGUGUGGAGCUUAUUCAUCGUGAUUCGCCAAUAUCUCCUUUCUAUAAUGCUUCUCUCACCUCAUCACAGAUCCUAAGAAAAAAUGCCCUCCAUUCCCUGGACCGUCUCAGACACUUCCAAUCCAUGAUUGAUCAAAGCGCCAUCCAAUCUGCAGUGACUCCAAAUGGGGGUAUUUAUCUGAUGAAACUCUCCUUUGGAACCCCGCCAGUUGACUACAUGGCCGUUGCAGACACUGGAAGCGACCUUAUAUGGAUACAAUGUGUUCCAUGUCUUCAACCUCAAUGUUAUCCACAAGGUUCUCCUCCUUUCGAUCCUCAAGCAUCUUCCACCUACAAAAAGAUUCCUUGCGAUUCCGAUAGUUGCCAAGCUCUUCCCCGGUAUCAGUGCUCCAACGACGUUAAUGACUGUCAAUACUCGUAUAGCUAUGGAGACAAGUCAUUUACGAAAGGAAUCCUCAGCACCGAUACCUUGACUUUUGACGACUCCAAUGGUCAAAAAACAGCUUUCCCAACAUCCAUUUUCGGUUGUGGGCACAACAAUCAAGGUAAAUUCAGAAGCCCAAGUUCUGGUCUUGUUGGCCUGGGAGGAGGGCCAUUGUCACUUGUUUCUCAAAUAAGCACUCAAAUUGAUAACAGAUUUUCCUACUGCUUGGUUCCUCGCUCUGCGAGUUCCAGUAGUAAACUGUUGUUCGGCCAAGAAGCAAUAAUUUCUCGUCCUGGGGCUGUUUCCACUCCAUUGGUAACCAAAACCCCUCAAACCUUCUACUACCUUAGUCUUGAAGGUGUUAGCAUUGGAGACAAGACCGCACAGGCAGGUUCGAGCCAAGGGAAUAUCAUAAUCGAUUCUGGAACAACACUCACAUACCUAGAAUCGAGUUUUUAUAGCAGCUUAGAGACUAUAGUGAAAGACGCCAUUGGAGUAGAUCCAGUGAAAGAUCCUUCAGGAACAUUUAGCUUGUGUUAUGGGGCAAAGACUAAUAUCAACGUCCCGGAAAUGGUGUUCCAUUU